rnacentral:rRNA from 1 species
CCUACGGGAGGCAGCAGUGAGGAAUAUUGGUCAAUGGGCGCGAGCCUGAACCAGCCAAGUAGCGUGAAGGAUGACUGCCCUACGGGUUGUAAACUUCUUUUAUAAAGGAAUCAAGUGAGGCACGUGUGCCUUUUUGUAUGUAUUUUAUGAAUAAGGAUCGGCUAACUCCGUGCCAGCAGCCGCGGUAAUACGGAGGAUCCGAGCGUUAUCCGGAUUUAUUGGGUUUAAAGGGAGCGUAGAUGGGUUGUUAAGGCAGGUGUGAAAUUUUGAGGCUCAACCGUAAAAUUGCAGUUGAUACUGGCAGUCUUGAGUACAGGAGAGGUAGGCGGAAUGCGUGGUGUAGCGGUGAAAUGCUUAGAUAUCACGAAGAACCCCGAUUGCGAAGGCAGCUUACUAAACUGUGACUGACAUUGAUGCUCGAAAGUGUGGGUAUCAAACAGGAUUAGAUACCCUAGUAGUC